rnacentral:rRNA from 2 species
ACUCCUACGGGAGGCAGCAGUAGGGAAUCUUCCGCAAUGGACGAAAGUCUGACGGAGCAACGCCGCGUGAGUGAAGAAGGUCUUCGGAUCGUAAAGCUCUGUUGUUAGGGAAGAACAAGUAUCGGAGGAAAUGCCGGUACCUUGACGGUACCUGACGAGAAAGCCACGGCUAACUACGUGCCAGCAGCCGCGGUAAUACGUAGGUGGCAAGCGUUGUCCGGAGUUAGUGGGCGUAAAGCGCGCGCAGGCGGUCCUUUAAGUCUGAUGUGAAAUCUUGCGGCUCACCCGCCAGCGGUCAUUGGAAACUGGGGGACUUGAGUGCAGAAGAGGAAAGCGGAAUUCCACGUGUAGCAGUGAAAUGCGU